rnacentral:lncRNA from 1 species
CAGUAGUUAAUUUUCUGUGUUAUUGAACGUUUCGAUAUCAUUGAUUUUCUAAUAAUUCUACCAAUAAAGUAAGAGAAGGAACGAUGAAUUGAAGGGCAAGUAUCAAUAUGAUGAUGGUGUAAUCCGAUUUGCAUGCCUAGGUCAGUAAUUUAUCCUUGGUGUUCCAUACUAUUUGGUUGAAUGAUCCCCCAUUUUCUUCUCCUUUUAUGAGUAUUAAUUAAUGUUUUUUUUUUGUUCCAUUUUCAAAUGAGCAAAUGUGGAACUGUUUCUUAAAAGGAUUUGAAAAAGCCAACAAAUAUUUCAAAUGUGAAUCAACCAAAUUAUCCAUUAACUAUUGGUUUUUCAUUAACUAUUAGUUAACAGAGUAAAUGUUAUCGAUCAAUGUUUACAGAGCCAAUGAUGAGAUUGGCCACAAUACUAAAAAAUGUACUGUAUUAAAGCCCUGGAUGUGUUCCGAUUCCUGUUGGUGUUAAGGCCCAAGUGCUCAGAAAGAGCGCAAAUUGUGGUUCAUCUUAAAAGAAUUAAAGUGGCCAAGGGCCAAGCAAAUCCACAAGGCAAAGAUGUCAGACAAUGUUUUCAUAUCUUUAAAUGCAAGGAUUUUAAAGUUCACUAGAGAUAACCUACUUCUCAGACAUGGUACUUUGAUGCCGGAUUUAAUUGAGUCCGCGUCGCAUAUGGCUUAUCCGCGCGCUGAUGCCAUAAAGCCACAUCAUAAUGAUUCCGAAAUGGUUCGUCAGUUGCGCCUUCACGGUCGUGUAGUAGAACCUCUUAAAGAUGAAGUAAGAGCCUUAGGUCGAGAGCUAGGUCAGCUCGCAGAAUUACUUUAACGUCAUACGUUUCCUGGUCCCGGUUUGUCGAUUCGAAUCAUUCGCGCCGAAGAACCGUUCAUGAAAGCUGAUUUCGGUGAGACGCAAUUGCUAAUUCGUUUGAUGGUCGAUUAUGCCAACAUAGCAACCAAGGAACAUGCCUUGCUCAUUCUGAAAUCGCGACGUCGGAAGAAAGAGCGUCUUCUUCUGGAACAACUGUUCAGUCACAACCAGUAUGUUUCUACGCUCCUACCUAUUCGCACUGUCGGUGUUCAGGUAAAGAGCUUCGCAAGUUACCCGUUUUGUUGGCGGAUUUAUAAAGAUUCCUUCAGAUCUUCCUUGCUGGGAGGUUGCCGAACUUGUAGCUUUUGCGUAGCACUGAGCUCUGAUUAGACACAACCAAACUGGAAUGAUUUAGCUACCUACGCCUGCUUAAUAUCGUGUGUGUGCCAUCAUUUCGACCGUGUUUGCUACAUAUUCGGAAAGGCUGUGUGUGAAUCGGUGACAGACUUUACACCUACCUACUUAACGAGUAACAUUUUGGCGACUUUAAGGGAAGCAAAUUAUUUGGCAAAAAAAUAUCACAGGAUUCGGGUUGCUAUAAGAAGCUAGCCCAGAUGCCAAUCGUCUUGAUCCCUCUUCACUUUGAUCGCGAUUCGAGUUAACGCAUUUCAUCAUACCAGCGAUCGGUCGUUUUUCGGACAUUCUUUUCACAGUAUUUUAUGACUGAACUUCCUGCAAUUCCUGGUACCCAUUAGCCCCAAGAGGUUGUAGACGAGAUGGUUGAAGCCAUCUUAACUGUUCCAGGAGUUUCCACGGUCUUGUAUAACCUGACGGUGAAACCACCUGCGACAACCGAGUGGGAAGGAUUUAAUUUACGAACGUUGUUUAGGGAAAUGAUCUCCGCACUCUUUAUAGGACACGGAUGCAGAGUUGUAUCAUUGACCAGAUUUAGAUGGGAAAUAUUAUGAACAGUGGAUUCAGUAUAGACUUUUGAAAUUGAAAAAUGAAUCAGGCUUGUCGUUUCGUAAAAUCUCUUAAACUGGCUUUUUAAGAGGAGUUCACGUGAUGAUUGUUGACUAUUCCCUAAAUAUACAUGCACACUUGUUGGAAAUAAUAGAUGCAUUUGUUUUUCGUUGAACUAGGUUGGGUUGUUGUUCCUCUCCCUUGUAAAACUACCCUUUUUCGCCCAAUUGUUAAUCGAAAUGUUUUGGGAACGUUCGGAUGUCGCCCAAAAGCAAGCGGAAGGCCUUUCGAGACGUUAUACCAUUUCCUAAAAUUGAACAUUCAGAAAAUGUGGUAUAUAUUCGCAAAUUGUUAAGAUAUAUUUAGAGUGGUACCAUAAAGUAUGACUGUAAGAAAGGGUACUUAGGCUUCUAAAAAUGAAGAAAAGCUCUUGAUGUCUUAAGUAAUUGGAAAAGGUACUGCAAAGAGAAGCGUCACAUGACGGUUAUAAGGAUGGACUUUCGUUGGCUUUGCCCAAUGAAUCUGUGCCUGGAACUGGCAAUGGCGCCCAAUCUUUAUUCGUAAAACUCAAGAGGUGUUCUUCGCUUUUCAGGGGGAUUGAUUGAUUGGUUAAAAUAUGGAUACCAAGAAUACCAAAAGAUGGGUAAGUGGAUGGUUAUAAAAGUGGAAAACUGUAAUUCCUCAUGGUUCUGUCGUUCACGCAUGCGCGCCAGUUCGUGAGCAGACGAACCAUUGAAAGAGCAUUACGCAGUCUAGCUGGAUCCAGCCAGAUACUAGUAGAACCCGAAACAUUGUUUUGACAAGUACUGCCAUAUUUCGAUUACAGGUUUUCACUAAAUACCAAGUCAGCCCAAAUUCUAGAUGGCGAUGAUGUGCGUCUAAGAUGAAGAUUACGAGUGACAAGUUAAAUAGGUGUUUGUUACGUUACCCUGUUUUGUGUUUUAAAGGAUUUGUCGUCAACAAAAUUACGAUUGCUUUUUGUGUGUGUUGGUGUUUCGCCUUGUCAGCUAUGCCAGCUACUGAACCAGCAGCCUGCAUUCCUGUUAUCAAUGUAUCACAAGGGAUCCUGACAAUUUAAGAAAGCCACUAUUCCUUACAGGAAGAUCACCAUUCAGUGCAAUCAACCACAGAGUCUUCAUCUACUUUUUUUGCUAACCAUCAGCCCUCAGCAUCCCAGGUAUCAUGAUUUCCAAGCUUCUCUGAUUAGCUAACCAUCAUCCAUACACUUCAGCUAUUCAGUGGGGCUUAUUUUCCUCUUUUCUUAGUCUGCCGAAUGCCAACAUGGAAUAAGGUUCAUCUUCAUUGCCUUACCAUGGAAAAUUGUCAUUGUUAAUCCUGCUGUUCUUCUCACUGUUACUUGGCCAGCAAACAUGGAUAGGCUUUAACGCCAUCUCCAUUUUUUGGACUGCAAAUCUUCAUCUUCUUUCGGUACAACACUGCCGCUUCGACAAUGUCGGUAGUUUCACCCCCAGUGGACCACAUGCGCGCACUUUUAUUUUUUUUAAACAGCCAGCCUGUUAACUGUUAAGCAAGCUACCCAACCAUAUAGAUGUGGGCAACCCACAUGCUUCACUUUCCAUCAUGCACAGAGAUUCAUGGAAAUAAAAGCACAAGAGAUGCUGACAGUAGAGUAGGGUGAUGCACCUCAUCCAACAAGUGCAGGAUAUUCAUCUCUAGUGUCAACAAUUGACCAUCACCUUAUCAGUAGCUUUCUUCUCAUGCCAAUUACCCAGCUAGCAUGCAUUGGCAACUGGAAGUUUUAAUAUUUCUUCUCUUCAAAAUUGCCGUCUCGACCAAUUGCUUCAAUUUCGCGCUCAGUUGACCACAAGCAACUACCCUAUCUUCUUCUUCACUCCGGGAAUAAUGAACCAUCUGGACAGUGGACUGCUGUCUUCUUCCUUCGCCUCAUCGUCUUCGCCGCCUAGCUGUCUUCGUCUUCGCCGCCUCGCUGUCUUCGUCUUCGCCGCCUCGCUGUCUUCGUCUUCGCCACCUCGCUGUCUUCGUCUUCGCCGCCUCGCUGUCUUCGUCUUCGCCUUCACCUCAUCGCUGUCUUCGUCUACGCCUUUGAGGCAUCACCAUCCUCGAGCCAUCUAUCCUAAAUAAAAAACGGGUGCAGUUCAGCAGCAAGCCCAAGGCGAUGGAGGAGAUUCAACGAGGAACGUCGUGCUGUGGUAUUGUUUUGUUUUGUUUUGUGUUGUCAUGUGUAUAGAACUAGUUAACCCGUUGGCUGCCACCCCGUUUGAGUCCCAUUUUUUUUCUAGCUUGUAGGGACCGGGCGCUGUUCUGCCCCAUGGCCGUGGGUGGAACAGUCGCCGCGCCUAAAGGCUUUGUGCCUUUAGGCGCCGUAGGCAAUGCACCAGUAGGGACUCUCUUUGUCGGUGCGGUGAUAGAUUCCUGGGGUGUGCAUUCCCGGAAUGGAAUCUAUUACCGUGUCAGCCCGGACUUGUCUUCGGACAAGUCCCCCUUUGUUCGUGGAUCCAUCUGACGCGAAGCGUAGCAAAUGUAGUGAAGCAAUCUACGGGUUGCAUGGCCUGGCAGCCAACGGGUUAACUUAGUUAAGUGUGUAUGUAUGUUUGUAUGUAUGUCAAUGUAUUUUAUAUUUAUGUGAUAUGUGUUGUAUAAAACAGUGGUGGAAUUGUGGG